GAUGAACGCUAGCGGCAGGCCUAAUACAUGCAAGUCGAGGGGUAUCCCGCUUUCGGGCGGGAGAGACCGGCGCACGGGUGCGUAACGCGUAUGCAACCUACCCAUAUCUGGGGGAUAGCCCGGAGAAAUCCGGAUUAACACCGCAUAAAAUCACAGUACGGCAUCGUACAAUGAUCAAAUAUUGAUAGGAUAUGGAUGGGCAUGCGUGUCAUUAGCUGGUUGGCGGGGUAACGGCCCACCAAGGCGACGAUGACUAGGGGAUCUGAGAGGAUGGCCCCCCACACUGGAACUGAGACACGGACCAGACUCCUACGGGAGGCAGCAGUAAGGAAUAUUGGUCAAUGGGCGGAAGCCUGAACCAGCCAUGCCGCGUGCAGGAAGACGGCCCUCUGGGUUGUAAACUGCUUUUAUUCGGGAAUAAACCUGCAUACGUGUAUGCAGCUGAACGUACCGAAGGAAUAAGGAUCGGCUAAUUCCGUGCCAGCCGCCGCCGUAA
rnacentral:rRNA from 1 species